CAUGAAUCACCCUUAUAAUUAGACAUAAGUCAUUUGAACAAUAAUAUCCUAUAUAACUUAUAAGCCAAUCCCUUGCGUACUGCACGUAUAGAAUGCAAGUUACUGCAUUCUAGUUCUCAUUCCAUGCAUUGAAACAAUCCAUAUUCUAGGUGGCAUACAUGAUAGAUCGACAUAAAAAGUUGAAGAAGAAAAACAAACGGAAUAAGGAUUAGCUUUUCAAAGUAGUCGGAUGGCAUGUUGGCUUAAGGUCGUUAAACCACAUAAAAAUGAAAGGAAAAAAAUGGAAAAAAAGUGUAAAUGUGCAAAACACAAUGAAAUUCCAAGUGGCAACCAUUCUGCCCUGUUAGCUCAACAAAAUUAAAAUGGAAAUGCAUUAGAAAAUGCGACUCCCACCAAAUAAUCAUAUACACAUUAUUUGACAUAUGGUCAAGCUCCUCAACUUGCGUCUUCCUUUUUAUAUAAUCAUCCCUGAACGAUUAUUUUACAUGGAUGAAUAUCUUUCACACUCUAAGAAACUCAUUUCUCUUGGUAAAAAUGAUACUUCAUAGUACUCGAGUGAUGUAGGAGAAAGAAUGAAUAAAAGUACCUAUCCCCACAUUAACAAGCCAUAAAAGCACAAAGCUUUUCUUAAAUCAAUUCAUAUUCAAUACUUUGAAUAAUAAUGAGGAUUACAACUAUACAGG
rnacentral:lncRNA from 1 species